UACAGAGGGUGCGAGCGUUUGUCCGGAAUCACUGGGCGUAAAGGGCGCGUAGGCGGCUUGAUAAGGUUGCGGUGAAAGCCCGGGGCUCAACCCCGGGUCGGCCGUGGCAACUGUCGAGCUGGAGCACUGUAGAGGCAGGUGGAAUUCCGGGUGUAGCGGUGGAAUGCGUAGAGAUCCGGAAGAACACCGGUGGCGAAGGCGGCUUUCUGGUCUGUAACUGACGCUGAGGCGCGAAAGCGUGGGGAGCAACAGG
rnacentral:rRNA from 1 species